GGCGCGGCUGACAAUUCGACUGCCACGUCAUCGAUAGACUCUAAAGGAGUUUCAUAAGUAAACAAUCGGUUUAUUUGGAAAUUAAAUCAAUAAAAAUGGCGUCGUUACCGAUCGGUGGAGGAGCGCGGUCACUUGUCUCGACCACUUUCUCUCAUGCAUAUUGAGAGCGGCCUGUGCGCCGAUUUUGGCUGCUUUCCCGGCGACGUGUGCGCAGGCGGUAGGCGGCCCGCGCGGCACAGCGCGAGCUGUAACCGCGGCCGGUGUAGGGUCGAGGGCCGAGUAGCGCCGGGUGCCGGGUGCCGGGCGCCGGGAGUGCCCGCGCGGUGCGGUUCACGGGCGCGGCGGCUAACGUGUCGCGUGUCGCGGUUUUAUAUUAAUUAGGUCCUCGCAAAUUAAUUAACCGUAAUUUUAUUCGCUACCUAGUUAUUACAUUAGGAUAUUUCGAAACCGCGCCCACGACAACUACCGUAAUAUAGACACAACAACAUAAUCAUUAAUAAAGCAUCACAAAUACAGCUCAAGCUGGGCUACAAUUCCUGUUUCUGCAAUUGAAUGAAUUAGUUAUUUAUUACGAACAAUAAAACACAAAGUGAUGAGCUCGACGUCGAGGUUGCAUUUGCCUUUAAUUAGAGUUCAACGCGUAUGUCGUCUGCCGACCCUUGCGGCCCGCAGCCCUGGAUCGCCCCGUGCCGGUCACCAGCCCCGGACACCACAAGGCCCAAAUUUAAGUCUCUUUUCGUAUGCUAGGAAUUAAAGGUUUUCAAUCAUUUUAUGUAUUACAAGAAUCUAUACGUACUACUAUU